GCUGUGGAGUCAAUGAUGUAUCUCUUGUGUCUGAUCUAAGUGUGAGGUCAUUCAGCAGUUUUCGUCACUACCACUGAGACAACCACAGC